ensembl:lncRNA
UGAACUGUGGUGUUGGAGAAGACUCUUGAGAGUCCCUUUGACUACAAGGAGAUCCAACCAGUCCAUCCUAAAGGAGAUCAGUCCUGGGUGUUCAUUGAUAGGACUGAUGCUGAAGCUGAAAGUCCAAUACUUUGGCCACCUGAUGUGACUCAUUUGAAAAGACUCUGAUGCUGGGAAAGAUUGAUGGUAGGAGGAGAAGGGGAAUGACAGAGGAUGAGAUGGUUAGAUGGCAUCACUCACUCAAUGGACAUGGGUUUGGAUGCACUUGGGGAGUUGGUGAUGGACAACAGCAGGCCUGAUGUGCUGCAGCUCAUGGGUCACAAAGAGUUGGACACGACUGAGUGACUGAACUGACUGACUAUAUCCCUUGGACAUGCCUCCAUUCUUUCGUUUCUUGAGCAUUUUCUUACUUUUUGGCACUGCAUCAUGCUGCAGGUUCAUCCUCCCUGUUUUCUGCCAUUGGAAAAUUGGUCAUUCCUCCAAGGAGUCCUGUUUUUUUUUUUGUUGUUGUUGUUGUUUUAUUCUAGAAUAGUAUUACAUACCAAUAUCUGGGUGCUAGAGUGUGAUUACUUUUUAUUAAUAAUUUUUUAAUCAUUCUCAGCUCAGAUCAGAGAAACCCUUUCUGAUCACCUAGUUUAAAAUAGCAUCCCAUUCCCAACCAAUUGCUCUCCAUGACAUAAUCUUACAUAUAUUUUAUAGGACUUAUUAUGACUUGAUAUACUGAUUGCAAUUUGUACAUAUAUACAAACUCUUGAAACCAAGCUAUGCAUUGUGUUUUGCAGCUUGCUUUUGUACUUACACAAUUCCACAGUAUAUUUUGGAUAUCUUUCCAGAUCAAUGUAUAUGAUUUUUUCUUAUUUAAAAAAUAUAAAUGUUUGGUAUUUUUUCUUCUGCUCUGGCUCUCUGCACACACAUGUGAUAAUUUUUACAUUGAUAGAGCAGUAAAGACUUUCAAAAUUUCUAUUACAAAUAGCACUAUUAAGAAUGUAUAUAUGUUUGUGAAUGCUUGAGUAUUUAACAGUGACUAAUAAUUUUUAAAAAUAAUUUACUAAGGGCUUUUACAUGUAUUAAAUCAUUUGUUGGUGUUCAACUCUUUGCGACCCCAUGGACUGCAGCACACCAGACUUCCGUGUCCAUCACCAACUCCCGGGCAUGCUCAAACUCAUGUCCAUCGAGUCAAGGAUGAGAUGGCUGGAUGGCAUCACCGACUCGAUGGACAUAAGUUUGGGUGAACUCUGGGAGUUGGUGAUGGACAGGGAGGCCUGGCCUGCUGCGAUUCAUGGGGUUGCAAAGAGUCGGACACGACUGAGUGACUGAACCUAACUGACUGACACAUGUGCAAGUGUAAUUGUGUGUGCAAAUAUGUGUGUAUGUGUGUGCAAGCAUGGGGAACUAACGUGUGUGUGUGUUAUGUGUCUGCAAUUGGAAUGAGACUGAGGGAGGCCUGGGAGCCAACACAGUGAAACAAUAAUGAAUAUUCUUCCUGAGGUGUCACUUUGUUUGGGAAGCUGAGGGGUUAAUACUGAUUUCACAAAAUAGUACCUUUGUCUAGAGAAACACCUGGCAUCUUAUCUCAGUCUCUCCAGGAUUCUUGCUUCACUCUUGUAGGAAACCUUUAAAUUAACUUGCUUUGAUAGUCUUGAGUCCACAUGGCAGAUGGCACAAGAUAGAAAGGAGCUCAUGGUACCAGAAGAGGAAAAAGCGGAACUGCCAGCUUGCCCGUAACUGCUGACUCAAGCAGUUUGUGAGCUGAUACCCUCAAGAGACUGCUGACUUUCCUUGUUGCAUAUUUUGCACAAAUGGGAGAAGGGCGUGAAAAUGUUAGAUAGUGUUCAGCCCAAGGGAAUAGAAUUCUGAUAUAAAGGUAAUAGUAAUAUAUAAGAUUCUCCGAGAACUUGGAGGAUGCUGAGCAGUUUAGGACAAUGUUAAGGUCUUUUUUUAAAAAAAUUGAAGUGUAAUUUACAUACAGUGAAAUGCACAGAACUUGUGUGCAGUUUCAUGAGUUCUAACAAAUACAUACAGCUAUGUAACCCACAUCCAUACCAAGAUAUAUCAGUACCAUUCCAGAAAAGUCCCUAAAAUACUUGGUACUAUCACUGAUUUUUGUUUUUUCAUUUUGUUAACACCAAAAACAUUUUGUAUUGAGGAAUAGCUGAUUAACAAUGCUGCGAUAGUGUCAGGUGAACAGUGAGGGUACUCAGCCAGACAUUUACAUGCAUCCA